UGUCUCGGCUUUUCUCAGUUAUUAUAUCACCUAUAAGGGCACACAUUGGAAAAAAUUCAUGCUUUCUUCUCCCCCUUAUCUCUCUGCAUAUAAACUGUCCAACUGCAAUUCUUGAAAGUGACCUCCACCCUAAAGAUGUUAUUGUAACUGAUUAUUGGUCAACUGUGGAGUGCAAGGAUAUCUAAUCUCAAAAAAAGAAGCUUAGUGGUCAACUUACCUUACUCUUUUGCUUGCAAGAAAGGUUGUACAACUCCUAAUGCUCUACAUAGAACUCUACGAGAAAACUGUUGGAUAUGCAGAGAAUAUUUGAUCAUGAGCAGCAACAACAACACACCCGAUGUACUUCCACAGGUGCAUACAGAGGCGACUUGUAGAAUUUUAAGCAUGGGCUGUUUGACAAGAAUAUUGUUCUCUAAAGUGGCACUUGUUUGAUUUCUUGUGUAUCUGUACAUGAGUAGACCAGAACCUUCCUCGGCUAUGCUGUCAUUAGUUGUUAAUUUUUUCUAUGACCACUUCAUCUGUUAGGCUUAGAAUCUUUUGGUGAUCAGUUCAUUGACUCUUUUAACUGUGUUAGUCUUUGUGUGUCUUGGUGAUUAUUCCUUCAAGUAACUUUUGGUGUGAUAUUCCUGAAGCUAGAUGUGCACUUAACUUGUUCAGUUGGAAAAAUUUCAACUACUGUAAAUAGCACUGAACAAUUUUUUAAUUUUGUUAGCACCCUACUCCUAGCAUGGUCUUUCUCAUGUAUUGGAGCUAACACACUUCUUUUGCAUCUUUUGAUGACCUUUAAUGAAAUUUCUCACUUUAUAGAAAAGAUAGUGUGGAGAAACUGCCAACCACCUAUCUAGGCAUGCCUUUGGGUAGCAGUCAUAAAGCCUUGGAAAUAUGGGACGGUAUCCUAGAGAAGAUUGAAAGGAAGCUAUCGAGAAGGCUCAAUAUCUUUCUCGAGGGGGAAGGUUGAUUCUUAUAAGUUCUGUUCUUGACUCUUUACCCACUUCUGUGAUGUCCUUAUUCCCAAUUCCAGCAAAAGUAGAAGAACAUUGGACAAGUUAAGGAGAAACUUUCUAUGGCAAGGCAGCUAUAAUUUAGUUAACUGGAAGACCGUAAUCCUUAGCAAAGAUAGAGGGGAGCUGGGAAUUAGAAACUUGAGAUUGUUAAAUGAAAGUCUGCUGAAAAAGUGGUUGUGAAGGUACACUAAGGAGGGAAGUGCUCUCUGGAAAGAGGUGAUUAAAGCUAUGUAUGGUGAAUUAAGCCCUUGGUGUACAGAGAACACAGUUGAACCUUAUGGUGUGGGAGUAUGGAGAACAAUCAGAAACCUGUGGCCCCAAAUGGAAGCAGAAUUGUUUAUCAAGGUGGGAAAUGGCAAUAAACUAGAUUUUGGAAGGAUAUUUGGAUAGAACAAUCCUCCCUUAGCGAUCUCUUCCCAGAUCUCUUUCAAAUCUCUGAGAAUCCUGAUGCUAAUGUAAAUGAUUGUUGGACAAAACAGGGAUGGAAUUUAGUUUUUAGAAGAUUUCUGAAUGAUUGGGAGGUGGAAAGGGUUGCAGAGUUGCUAGGGAAGUUAGGUGAAUGAGAAUAGACACAAAUGCCACAGACAGGGUGCUAUGGAGGCACAAAAAUGAUGGUCUUUACACAGUUAGCAGUGGGUACAGAAGAGGUCUCCAACUGAUGGCAGGAGAUCCAAACCAUCAAUGGAACUAUUUUUGGAAGGGGGACAUUCCUACAAAAGUGAAAUGUUUCACUUGGUAGUGAUAAAGAGGGUUUGUUUAACACAGGAAGUAUUACAGAAGAAGGGUAGACAAAUGGUUCCCAGAUGCUUUUUGUGCAAUUUGACAGGAGAAACAAACAAUCACCUUUUCUUGCACUGUAACUUUACCAAGCAAGUCUGGAAUUUAUUUCUUAGCAUUUCAAAUCUGAAUUGGACAAUGCCAGAACAUAAAUCAGAGUUGCUGAGAGCUGGGUAACGAGAGGAGGCAGCAAGAGCCAAAGGAGAUGGUGGAGGUUAAUACCAUCAUGUAUAUGGUGGUCAGUUUGGAAGGAAAGGAAUGGUAGAUGUUUUGAAAAUAGAUACAAUUCCAUUCACAAGGUCAAAUGGAAUUGUAUAGUAUCCUUACUUUUUUGGUGUAAACAGUUGUGUAUAGUAGAUACAGACCAGAUUAUAGAUUUGAUAGGAUGCUUGUAACUGACACUAAAUGGUGGAGACAAGCAUGCCCUUAAUGCUGAAGAAUACAAUCUUACCAGUUUCAAAAAAACAAAAAAAAAAAAGAAAUGAACCUUAGACCUAACACAGUCCCCAAAGCUAGUUCAUGAGAUGAGGAUUCCCCAAGAUCAUAAAAGGAGACAUAAUCCCAUCCCAAAGCUAUAUCAGACUCUUAGCACUCACACUCGCAGGAGUGGACAUUUGGAGCUUGGAUAAUACAACAUGAGUACCCGACAUCAGGUAAACGAAGAAUUGGAAUGGGUCUGGCUCGCCUAACUCAACCCUUUAAGUCAGCUAAUGAGGUAAGGAUUGCCCAAUACCGUAUAAAGAGGCAAACAUUCCAUUCCAUAUCAAUGUGGGACCCUAUCAAACAGUUUGUAUUAGCACAUAAUACACCUCCAGUAGUCUUAUCUCUGAAAGUUAUGAUGUUUAUCUACAUUUAUUGGUUUGCUAUUCCCAUCAUCCCAAAUAUGUGAGGGUGUUUUUAUAAAGACUUUGAAACUUGUGUAAAACAUGCCAGACAUUUAUGUGGGUAUAAAUCAUCUUAUUAAGGGUAAAAUGUUUUUUAAAAAGUUAAAUUGUAUCUAAAUAAUUGGUAGUAGAGGGUCAAACAAAAACUGGUGGGUGACCAUUCCAGCAUGUAUCUGGUGGACACUAUGGAAGUAAAGGAAUGCCAGAUGUUUUGAAGAGUAGCAACAUUCAGAGAUAAAGCAUCAGAGUCUUAGUUUGCUGUAUUUUUGGUGUUAACAAGAGUUGGGGAUAUAGUAGCACUAGUUGGCUUCAUACGUAACUUGUAAAGUUCUUCUAUUUUUGCAAUCCUACUUUUGGUGGGUGUUAGAUUCUUCCUCAUCAUUUCUUGGAUGAUGAGUUUUUUUGUGAAUACAAAGUUACCAUUGUCUCAAAAAAAAAA